UUUGUUUCAGAGCUGGGCAUGAAACUGGGAGAUUCGACUCGGAAAAAUGGAGGGACAGGCAAAAACGAUUAGCCUACUUAGCUCCGUGGUCAGAGUGUAAUGUUAAAUCUUGAAGUAGUUUCUCAAGAAAGAUCUUUGAAUUGAUAAAUUGAUGAAUUACAGUAGAUCUAAGUAGAAUCUACUCCCUCCCCCCCCAAUUUGGUAGAUAACAGAAACACGCAGUCCCUUGUGCUCUGGAGACUGGGAACUCUAUUACAUUUCUUUCUCUGUCAAUUCUCCAUGUGCAUAAGUUGUUGCCGCUUUUGUUUUAUUUUAUUUUUCUGUUUAUGGAUUUGUUUGUUUGUUUUCUGCUUAUUUUUCUGUCUUUCUAGGUAGCCUUAGUCGGCCUAAUAUUUGCUAUGUAGUCCAAAUUGGCUUUGAACUCCUGGCAAUACUCCUGAGUUAACUCUUUGCCUGCUGGGAUUACAGGUGUGUUCUACCUUACCUGUACUAUUUUGUUCUUAUUAUUCAGUCCUUGUUUUUGUUUACUUAUUUAUUUCAGUUUCUUAUUUGCAUUUUUUUUGACACUCUGACAAAAUCCCUGGAAGAAAUAACUUAAGAGAAAAGGGUCUAUUUUGGUUCAGAACGUCAGAGGAUCCCAACCACGAUGGUGAGGCAGGGGCAAUGGUGGAAGUGGCUGAGUUGAGGUAAGGUCUUAGUCUGUGUUGGUGUGAGUACCAGGCAGAUGGUCACUCCGAGGUACCUGAGGAGAAAACAGGAGCUAGACUGGAUCCAGGUGAGCUGCUUCUGUUUGCAAGGCCACAUGUUCCCACACUUCACAGCCCUCCAAAACAGCUCCACAAGCUGGUGAGUUUUCAAAUAUGUGCUCUACCAGGAACGUACAGUAUAUGGGAAGAAUCUUGCAUCGUCUCACUGGUAAACCUUGUCCAGGUGAACUGGAAGGGUCCUUAGAGCAGGAGUGAGCUGAAUUGCUAAAUAGAGUUCCAUUAUUUUCCUAUCAGAUCAAUAAAUUUCACUUGUCCUGAGGUAUUAUUUAUGGAUUAAGAAAGUACCUGUAGUAACAUCUACAGACAGAAAUGUAUAGGGUUAAAUUCAUGGGUCUAGGAGGCAUUUUAUAAUAAUACCUUUUUUUCUCACACAGAAUAUUUAUCGGCUUUCUGUGCCAUGUUACUGAAUUUAAGGAAUAAAAUUACUGCUUUCUGUUACUUUAUAUACAUAAAAUUUAUUCAGCUUAAGAACGUGCAAGAUAAAUGUCUGAUUUCAAGUUAUCUAUGCUCCCCCAUCUUCCUAUUUCAGUUUCCUCAAUCCAUGAUGAGAUGUGAUAGUACAGAAAGCCAUGAAUGGGAAGCUCAGUAUGAGGUCUGGAUCCAAGUCCACUUUAUUCUAAAAGGCAGUGUGCAUUUGUCUGUUCUUUCCGGUUUCACAGGAUUGUGGGGAAGAGCGACUGCAAACACUACGACCGUUCCCAACGGUAAUAAAACUUUUGAGUUAAUUAACUGAGAAUAAGGUAAGAGGAAAUGUCAUUAUGAGGGCUAAAGUUGUUUUCCUAUCAUUUUGAAAAUUAAGUUUUUUUUAUCUUUUGAGAUUAUAUUAAUUAUCAUUUCUGCUUCCCUUUGCUCCCUUUCAAAUUCUUCAUGUAUCCAUCUUGCUCUCUUUCAAGCUCAUGCCCCAAGGCCUUUUGCUCUUAGUUGGUGGUGGUGAUGGUGGUCGUGGUAGAAUGGGGAGAGGAGGAGCAUAGAGAGAGGGAGAGGGACAGGAAAAAAACAGGAGAGGGGGCGAGGGGGAGAGAGAUCCUAAAUUCAUAAACAUAGCCUGCUGAUUCUACAUAAUGCUACUUGUAUGAAUAUAUUUUCAAAGCUAACCAUUUGACCUUUUGGUUUUGGAUAGCCAAAGGGUGUGGUCUUCCUGGGAAAACGUCCUUCUCCCAUUUAGCCUUCUUGUCUUUCGUAGGACUGAGUUCUUAUGAGCUUUCCAUCACCCACAUUAGCACAUCUAUUGUUGUUACCCUUAGUCAGCUUAGUUCAUGGCCAUGCUUCUGACACUUCUCUGUGUCACUCCAGACAUUUCUAGGAGACACAAUCUUACAGCAAUCUCUCUGAUCUUCUGGGUCUUAGCACCUUUCUGCCUCUCUUCUGAAAGGAUUCCUGAGCUUGAUGUGCAGAAGUUUGGUCUUAGAUGUGUCCAUUGGGACUAGUUGCCACAGAUUGGCAAAUUGGUUGGCCUUGGUUUUCUGAUGAUGAUUCCCUGCCCAUUGCAAAGAGGAACUUCCUUCUGAGAACCACACAUAUAUCUGAAGAUUUGGAGCUAGGAAACUCAGAUGAGAGAGAACAUAUGAUAUUUGCCUUUCUAGGUCUGGGUGUCCUCCCUCAACACGACCUUCUCCAGUCCAGUUAUUUAUCCUGCUGGAUGUUAGGGAAGGAGCUCUUUUUCUACCUUAAAAAUUUAGUCUCUGCAUUUAUGGAUAAAUAUAUUGCCUUAGCUCAGUCCAAAAUAACAUGAUGAUCUAGUAGUUGUCUUUGGUAAAUUUAAUUUAAUAGAGCACAAUGAAUUUUAGACUGGUUAUGUAGCUCAAUGGUUGAGUGUUUUGUCUGGCAUGUGUGAGGCCCUGGCUUAAAUUCCUAAAACCAUGCAGAAAGUGGGGAACUAGGCUGCAGAUAUAGCUUAUUCAGUAGGGUACUUGCCCAGCAUGCACAAAGUCCUUGGUUCAAUCGCCAUUGCCACAUAAACUAGAGGUGGUAGUCCCAAAAUUCAGGAGGAGGAAGCAAAAGGAUUAGCAUCAGAGGAUCAAGACUAGCCUCAUAUAUAUGUAAAAUCAAUAUUUCAAAGGCUGAAGGAAACCUGAUGUGGUACUAUAAGAAAUGUAAGGAUUGAAGCAGCUGGAGGUCGCACAGUGUAUGUAACUGUGAUUUACCAUGGAGAGUAGGAUAAUCAUGAAUCAAAGGACAGAGACAGCUAUAUGCCACUGGAGAAAGGGUAAAGGCUUCAGAAGAAGGCAAGGGAGCAAAUGAAAGAAAGAGCGGUAGCAUCUUGUUGCUUCAGGGACAGAAUGUCUCCUAGGACAUGAGUAGACUCAAGCCUUUUGAUACAUCUUCAAAGUCAUGAAAUCACUCUAAGCCUCAGUGUCUUUUGCCCUUCAGACGGGGCAUUGACAGUAACUCCUUGCAGGUUUCAGGUAAGGAAAUAUGGUUUACCACAUAUGCUGUACAUGGCACAGGACACGACACUGAGCAAAUCACCAGGAACAGUUUACCAUCCUUUAACAACAACCUGUAUGGGAUUUCCAAUAGGAAAAGACAGGCAGCCAGCAGCUCAGGGAGGAGGGGAAGGGCAGAGAGUCAGGGAAAGACACUGGUGUUUGCCUAGGUGAUAUGCUCUUGAAUGUCAGGAAUGCCCAUGCCAGAUCUCAGAGACUUGAUACUGAGAAACCAAGGAGGCUGUGUCCACUAAGAACUCUACAUGAAUGUCAACGAUGGCAGUGACCUGGGGAAUCUCCAGGACACUCUGGAGCCUCAGGCCCAAGUCCAGUGGCCAUCAAGGAAAACCUGCAGGAGGAUUCAAGAGCCCUGGGCAGGGGUGCACCUCAUGGACUGACCCCGAACCAGGAACGGGACAAACUGGAAAACCGUCAUUAUUUGGGUAUUCUGUCUACUUUAUCCUGAAUUUGGUCUGGGGAUUUGACUCAAGUGUGUUGGAUGGCAAAGAGAACAAACGUCAAGAACAUCACAAGAAAAUGUAGGAAGGAUAAAUGUGUGAAAUGGAAUAGUACAAUCUGUAAGAGAAGCAGGCACCACUGAGUGUAUGUGCAGCCAGACGGGAGUCUGCUAUGCUCUGCCUGCUCUAGGAAGGAAGGAGCUUGGAAGAACACUGGGCCAGACUUUGCCUGGUACAUUUACCAGAGACCAAUAGAGGCAAGGUAGAUUAUAUGGCUGUUCUGUGCAGUAUCACGGUUGGUUGUAUGAGACUGUAAAUAAGGUUUAAAAUACAUUGUGGGGGCCGGGGGUGCUGGAGAGAUGGCUCAGUAGUUGAGAGCACUUGUCACUCUCCCAGUGAACCCUUGUUUGGUCCCUAGCACCCAUGUCUGGUUGCCUAUAGCUGACUAUAGCUUCAGGGCCUCUGACGACCUCUGAGAACCUCUGAGACACUUCCAUUUAUAGACGGACACCUAUACAAACGCACUUGCAAGAGCUCACAUGUGCACGCGCGCACAGACACACACGAAACUUCUAAAAAUAAAUCUUUAUUUGUCAUGUAAUGAGUCAUGAUAAUUAUACAUUCUUACACGAGUAUACCAGUUUACAGAGCAUGCAGAAUCUUCUUUAAUUCUAAAAACACACAGGAAGACGGUGCUUGUUUAGUUUCAGAUUUUGCAAAUGAGGACAGAGUCUCAAAGGACUUUAAGCUGCAUGCCCAGGGUGGUUCUGCUGUUACUGAAACCAGCUGCCUCGGUACUCAUUCAUAUUCAACAAACAUGGAGUGGGUUCCUCUCCUCUGCCAGGCUCUUGGCUCGAGGCUGAGAAUACAAAGACAAUGCUCAAAUGAAUUCACAGAAAGCUGGGGGGAAAUAUAUCCAAAAAACCAUGAUUCAAAUAUAAUGAAGUAAAGAGAAAAAAAGAUACAAGGUUGCAUGUGACAUUGUUAAUUGAGACUACACACAAAGGGGACUGGGAACCUAAGCUGCUUGGGACAGGUGUCACUAGAAGCCCUUCCAGAAGGAAUGGGUAGGUGUUUAGGGGACGGAAGACAGAAAGCUGUUCUAGGCACCGACACUCCGCGCAGAAAGCCGAGGGAGCUCAAUAGCACAUUCUAGGGUGCCAAACUGAGAAAUUAACAGCCUUGAGUUGCAGGUGGAAGAUGCAGAAGCCAACUUUAAAACAGUCUUUUCAGGCCGAGCUCAGGAGCCUGAAUUCCCAUGCUGUAAGUGGCCGGGAUCCACUGCAGGAUUUUAAUUGUGUGAGUGACAAGAUCAGAUUUGCUAUUCAGAAAGCACACCCUGGCACAGAUCAGUGGGUGGAAUAGAAAGCAGUUACCCUGGAGACAGGCAGACCCAUUAGGAAGCUCUGACAAAGAUCCAGGAGAGAGAAAAUGGGGAUAGAGGUUGGAGGAGCGAGCAGAUUCAAAGACAUUUUGGAGGUGGAACGGAUGGUCAGGAGACGCUCAUUCAGUAUAAAUGCUGGAGGGGAGGAAGAACCAAGGAGUGGUGUGGUUUCCAGCUUGGAUUUCUAUAUGGAUCGUGAAUAAUUAAUGAAGAUGGGGGGGUAAUGGGCAUUUAAGAGGGAGGUAGUGGUAGAUGGAUAUGAUCAAUAUACAUUUGUUUAAAUGCGUGUAACUUUCAAAGAGUAAACAAUUAUUAUUUUAAUAGAUCAAGGUAUAAAAUAAAAAAGAAAUCAAAUGGGGGGGGGCGUGCUAUUGAAUUCAUAUGUGACCUGUUGAAGUUGAUGUAUCUUUUGGACUUCUAGGUGAAGAAGUCACAUGUGGUGAAUAUGUUAUCAUCAGAGCGCAGAACAAUGAAAUGCAAACACAUAGGAAGAAUCAUGGCAUCUCCAGCUAUAGAGCCAAGCUUUAACACAAUCCAUUUGCACCAUCUCUGCAGUGGAAGAAGCAAAGGGGCCUUCGGAGUUGAGGGAGCGUUCUGAGAGCAUGAAGACUCUAAAGACAAGGGGAAGAUGGAGAUGGGGGACUGCAAUACGGAGCUCCGAGUUUCCCAAAAGGGUUGCUAAUGAUCCUGUUGUGGGGAUUUGAUGAGUUAACAAAUGCUUGAUGUGUAUGGUCAUCCUACUCCGAAGUCUGUUGCUUUGGCCUAUGGGAAGACUGAGAAGCUUCAAAGAAGUUAGCACCAACAACUGUUAAUUGUUGCAAGAUUAGUGAUGUGCUCUAAGGGAACAAGCAGCACUGUGCUGUGUGAACUGACCGUUGGUAAGCAUCACUUUAACUCAGGAGAGCCUGUUACUGAACUGUCUUAAGGAGAUGAGUCACAAGCAACACCUUGCUCUCGACUUGGCACUAAAGCGAUGCCACACACCACAUCACCCACUGAAAGGCAUCACGGUGUUGGCAACCCACUUGGGCAACAUGGAGUUUGACGUUAAGCAUCUGGGAGUUUCCAGCAUAAGAACACACAAGGGUUCAGAAAUGACCUAUAAUGUCACGGAGCACUCUACAGCUGUCACUCAGCCUUUAAACUGGAUGAGAAACCACAAAAGCUUUGGUUUCUCAAAAGCAGAGAGAGCUACAAGCUGUCAACGUGGUCUGGUCCUUGGAGGCUACCCUAACUUAAUUACUUAUUUCACAAAUGGAGAGAUGUGCCAUCAUUCGUGUGGGCAGAAGAAAGAACACGGAGCUAGAAUCCUUACUGCUUAUCUCGUUUUUGGGGAAUUAGAGACAUAGUUACACACUUAAGGAGCACCAUCUGUGCAAGAGGCACAAUGCACUGACCAAACGCAUGCUGAAAGUCUCCUGUAGAAGUUCAAACUCUUCCUGUUUCACUUCACGUGCAGAUGUUGGAAAGGGACAGGGCUCAUGAAAGGCAGAAGCCAGCCCCUCCUUGCUGUUCGUGCUCUGACCACAUACUGGUCAGGUGCCACUACUCACCGGCUCUCCUGACUUCACACUGUCGUCACAUCACUGACAAUGACCUUCCUGAAGCACCGUUUCCCUUCCAAAAACACCCCCAACAAAGCAAUUUAUAGCUGACCUCUGUUUUUCUAAUCAUGUUUUCUCUCCUCUCUCCAGCUUGGAAAUCCUUGUGUCUCAGCUGCUCUCAAUCAGGGCCACCAGUCUGGUGAUCAGCUUAGCUGGGAGCAGGAACUCAAGGGCUUUGAAUUAAGUCAGGUGCCCUCUGUGGGCUCUGUUUCAACUAGAUGCUACAUCAAUCGUCACCGUUUUAGGGAAGGAAAUGAUGGUUUGAUCAAAACAGUAAGGCUGCUGUCUAUGUCAUACUUGUCCCCAGUUUACAUGCCUUUUCCAGCUAACCAAACCCAAUGAGUGCACCCUGAUCCACCCCCCCACCCACCCCUGUCUCAGCUCCAAAUGGACAGAAGAGAUGGGAAGGAACCAGCUGGGACACAGAGCCGAACUUCUAGAAUUAAUGAGACAGUAACUCUCAUCUUAGCUCCCAAGGAAGGACCUAAAGCUGUUGGCUGUGGCUAGGAGCAUAUGAUUUUCCUGAGGGACCUGUUGAACAAGUCCCAUCUCUCUUGAGUUUCAGCUUACAGAGCCAGAACUUAAAGUCUUUCCCUGAUCCAAGACAGAGUAUAGGACAGCCUGCUUCUCUUGUCUCUUUAGCGAGCAAGAUGCCUUCGUGACUUUCUCUUUACAUAGCCAUUGGUGUUCAACACAAUUUAGACUCACCUUAGGAAGAAAGAAAGAGAGAGAGAGAGACAGACAGACAGACAGAAAGAAAGAAAGAAAGAAGGAAAGAAAGAAAGAAAGAGAAAGAAAGAGGAAGAGAGAAAGAGAGAGGAAAAGAGAGAGGAAAAGAGGGAGGGAGGAAAGGAGGGAAGGGGGAGGGAGGACCUCCUAGAGAGGAACCAGGCUGUGAAACUUAAUGGGGAAAGAACCAUUGGCCAACAUUACAACAGCAAAAACAGAAAGAGAAAAUAUGAGCACAUUACUUCGAGGUAGGUGAAUAAAACAUCUGCAGAGGCAUUAUCUUCUAGUCAAUGAGUUAAAUGAAUUAUUAAUCCCGUUAUAUGUGUGUAUCAGAGAUUAGAGGGGAACUUGUAGGAGUCGAUGUUCUUAUUCCUUGUAUCUGGGGAAUUGAACUCAGACGAUUAGGCUUGGUGACAAAUAGAAGCACACCCAAGUGGCCAUGUGUAACUCACUGAUUUGGGCACGAUGACAACGUCAUCUGUAUUGACCUACUUCCCAGACUAAUACUGAAGUGCUAUAAUUUCUUAAAUAUUAUCCACCUAGGAGGAAAUGAUACUCUGCCCAUCCGUAGUAGUCAGGAUGUGUUCAACAUCAAGAAAAUGUGUGCUGUGUAACAAGUAAGAACGGUUUUAAAAGUGUGGCUUUAUAUGACAGCAAUGCACAAACAUCCACGUGUAUUACUGUAGUGUGCACAGUAGUCAAAAUAAGGAAUUAGCCCAGAUGUCUGUCAAUACAUGAAUACCUUAAAAAAAAACUUAGUAUAAAUACACAGGGAAGAUUUUUGCAGAUAUAAAGAAAUAGAAUUGUGUCAUUUUCAGGAAAUAAAUGAACUGGAGGUUAUUGAGAUAAGAGACACUCAGGGAAACAAUAAAUUAAUUGACUACAAUGUUCCAGACACAGUCUCACAUAUGUAAGAUACUUGUAAUAAAGAUGUCAUCGCUGAUAGUAGAAA